CGCGGGAUGGAGCAGCGGCAGCUCAUGGCUCAUAACCAUGAGGUCCCAGGUUCGAGUCCUGGUCCCGCAACCA
rnacentral:tRNA from 1 species